rnacentral:rRNA from 1 species
GUCGAACGAUGAAGCCCUUCGGGGUGGAUUAGUGGCGAACGGGUGAGUAACACGUGGGCAAUCUGCCCUUCACUCUGGGACAAGCCCUGGAAACGGGGUCUAAUACCGGAUACCACUCCUGCCUGCAUGGGCGGGGGUUGAAAGCUCCGGCGGUGAAGGAUGAGCCCGCGGCCUAUCAGCUUGUUGGUGGGGUAAUGGCCCACCAAGGCGACGACGGGUAGCCGGCCUGAGAGGGCGACCGGCCACACUGGGACUGAGACACGGCCCAGACUCCUACGGGAGGCAGCAGUGGGGAAUAUUGCACAAUGGGCGAAAGCCUGAUGCAGCGACGCCGCGUGAGGGAUGACGGCCUUCGGGUUGUAAACCUCUUUCAGCAGGGAAGAAGCGAAAGUGACGGUACCUGCAGAAGAAGCGCCGGCUAACUACGUGCCAGCAGCCGCGGUAAUACGUAGGGCGCAAGCGUUGUCCGGAAUUAUUGGGCGUAAAGAGCUCGUAGGCGGCUUGUCACGUCGGAUGUGAAAGCCCGAGGCUUAACCUCGGGUCUGCAUUCGAUACGGGCUAGCUAGAGUGUGGUAGGGGAGAUCGGAAUUCCUGGUGUAGCGGUGAAAUGCGCAGAUAUCAGGAGGAACACCGGUGGCGAAGGCGGAUCUCUGGGCCAUUACUGACGCUGAGGAGCGAAAGCGUGGGGAGCGAACAGGAUUAGAUACCCUGGUAGUCCACGCCGUAAACGUUGGGAACUAGGUGUUGGCGACAUUCCACGUCGUCGGUGCCGCAGCUAACGCAUUAAGUUCCCCGCCUGGGGAGUACGGCCGCAAGGCUAAAACUC